rnacentral:rRNA from 1 species
GCUAAGCCUGUGCCAGCAGCUGGGUGUAUAAAGAGUUCUCAGGCGGUGUUCGGGUGCACUGGGCGUAAAGGGUGCGUAGGGGGUUGGGUAAGUCUUGCGUGAAAGCUCCGAGCCUAACUCGGAAACUGCGUCGGAUACUAUCCAACUCGAGGAAUGGAGGGGAGACUGGAAUUCUCGGUGUAGCAGUGAAAUGCGUAGAUAUCGAGAGGAACACCAGUGGCGAAGGCGAGUCUCUGGACAUUUCCUGACGCUGAGGCACGAAAGCCAGGGGAGCAAACGGGAUUAGAUACCCGGGUAGUC